UCACGUUGGGUGUUAGGACUUCAACGUAGAAAUUUUGGAGGGACACAAACGUUUAGUCCAUAGCAACGUAAAAUUGGGAAACACUGCUCUAAUUUUAACCCUUCUCCCCUACCCUAGGACACACUUUGACCUCCUGGAGCACCCUGAACCCCAUGGCAGUCCUAACCUAGCAAGACCCAGUGACAUGCAGUCAGCUUGGACUCACAAGAGAACACUGAAUUACAAUGCAUCCUGCUGCCUGGGGUACCCAUUCUGGCCCUGUCAGGUCCUUGAAUGCUGAGGGCACUGAGGAUGCAUUCACUCUCCAGGACACACAGACCCUCCAAGAGGCUCUGACCUCUGUACCUUACACUCAGCACAACAUCUUGGGCUCACAAUCACUCUGUGACCCUCUAAGUCACCCAGACCAUGAGGACAUGGUGAGAUUUGGGAAAUUCUAACCUUUUAAGGAAUUCCUGACCUUACAGAAUCUAGACCGUCAAGGGCAUCUUGUCUUCCUGCCUGUUCAGAGCCCCCAAUUUGCUUGAAUCUUGCAAAGUGCUGUUGACACUGAAAAACCACUCAACAUGCCAACCCCAACCCAGGAAAUACCCUGACCACACUAGCCUGAUCCAUAGGAUAUUUUGACGAAGAAAAGACAUAUCCAGGUCUCCCAAAGCACUCUGACCAUCCAACAUGCCUUUGACACAGGGGAUGUCUUAAUGCCAGGGCUCUCCAACCUUCCAGUGUACUCUGGUUGUCUCAGCCCUAGAGUUGUCAGUAGGCACCCUAGUCACUGUCACUCUCCCACUCUCCCAAUACACAGACAGCCCAGCACAGCUUCAACACACUAGGACCCCCUGAAUCCAAAAGGUGAUUAUUCUAACUCUUGAGAUUCUGUCCUCUCAAGGCAACUAUUCCCUGCAAGACCCUCUGUAGAAUACACAUUCCCAGAACUACCGGAACAUCUUCACCUCUACCAUACUCUCACCCCUCUGUAGAAUACACAUCCCAGAACUGCCAGGACACCUUCACUCUGCCAUACUGUCACCCCUCUGUAGAAUACACAUUCCCAGAACUGCCAGGACAUCUUCACUUCUGCCAUACUCUCACCCCUCUGUAGAAUACACAUCCCAGAACUGCCAGGACACCUUCAUUCUGCCAUACUCUCACCCCUCUGUAGAAUACACAUCCCAGAACUGCCAGGACACCUCCACUCUGCCAUACUCUCACCCCUCUGUAGAAUACACAUCCCAGAACUGCCAGGACACCUUCACUUCUGCCAUCCCAGAACUGCCAGGACACCUUCACUCUGCCAUACUCUCACCCCUGCCUAGCACACUGUGCUCAUCCAGGACCCUCUGAUUUCCUGAAAAUGCUUUGAUUGCACAAGAAUACCUUGGCACUCUACUCCAUGACAGAUCCAUUCAAGUCUACCCAAACCUUCAAGGACCACCUGAGCUCCAGAAAACCUUGAUCUCCCGCAUUCAAAUACCAAAAGUAUAUGCUGACCUACCUGAAAACCUUCACAGCUCUGGACUCCCAGAACAUCCAGGAGCCUCUGAAUCACGCAGCCAGACCAACCUCCAAAACAUCCUAACUCCAUGCAAGUGGUGUGAUCUUCCAGGACAGUCUGACCUCGAAGCUGGUGAUGUUGUAAGGAUACUUCAAGUGUUCUGACAUGAUGAAAAUGCCUGUAGGCCCAGAACACCUGCCUGCCCUGACGCCCUGUCUCUCCAAUACCCCUGCCUUCCCAAUACCCCUGCCUUCCCAAGAUGCUCCAAGUCUCCCAGACUCUCUGACUUUCACCAUUAAGAUCUCAUCUGAUCCUAUGUGAUCUCUUUGGAUCCUCUUAACACCCUGUUCCCCAGGGUCCUCUGACCUUUUAAAAUCCUACAAGAUGCCGG
rnacentral:lncRNA from 1 species